CCAAAAAGAAUUCUCACCUUCAUAUUAUUAUUACACUUUCUUGAAAGCACUGCUGUAAUUUAGGCUGGUCAUAGUGGAGAGUAACUUAGACUAGUAACAUACAUAUGUUACUAGUCUAUGUUACUACCUUCAUAGUGGGUAGUGUCAUAGGUGUGGUAACAUAGUUGCCUUCAUUUAUUACUUUGUAGACUCAUUAUGCAUUGGAAACCGCUAUGUGAUGGUAACAUAUUAUGUUACUCUAUUUGCCUCUCUCCUCAUUAACUACUUGCCACAUCAUCAAUUUUGCUUAUGUGGCAUCUAUGUUACUACUUAUGUUACUCCCACUAUGACCAGCCUUAUACAGUGAGCCAGCCAGCACCAGAGUAUUAUUGCUCAUGAUCAGUCAAACGGUAAUUUUUUUUACAACGGGACAAACAAAAUGGAGCAACCAAGAGAGCAGCGGGGGGAGGAGAAGAGGGAGAUGAUCUUGGCGAAACACAAGAUCAUCCUCACCCUUCUUCUUGUCUCUCUUUCACUCGCUGUAAUUUUUUCACCUACAGGCUAAACCAAUAUCCAAGAGUCACAGGAGAGAGGGAGAGGAGCAGGGAGGAGGGGGUGCUCUGCUCUGCUCAUUUCAUCUCGAUGCUUCUGAAGUCGAGCAUGGCGGUCCGGAGCCCCAUGAAGCUGCUGCACUUGCAGUCCGCGCUCCUGGGGAGCCCCAUGCUGCAGCUGAAGCAGAGGCCCACGACGGCCUCCCUCUUCACCACGGGCUUGGUGUCCACCAUGGGGUCCUCGUGGGACGGGGGGCUGAUGCAGAGGUCCAGGUUCAGGUCCGGGCACUUGAGCGCCUUCCCCUGGCCCCACUCCAUCUGGUGGUGGGGGUUGCUACGGUGAUGGUGGUCGACGUGGGUGAUCGCCGCUGCCGCUGCCGCUACCUUGGUGGGCUCGGCGUCUCGCCGGAACACGGCGCCCUUGUCGUCCCUCUGCGCCGCCUCAAACGAUAUGGUGAUGUUGGACGCGGCGUGGUCGCUGUUGAUCGCCCGGUGGGUCACCGGGUCGAUCCCCCGGCUCGUGAGCUUCCUCCUGAUGUGCGUGUUCCAGUAGUUCUUGAUCUCGUUGUCCGUCCUCCCCGGCAGUCUCCCGGCUAUCAGGGAC
rnacentral:lncRNA from 1 species